CGAAUGCUGACAUAAGUAACGAUAAAGCGGGUGAAAAGCCCGCUCGCCGGAAGACCAAGGGUUCCUGUCCAACGUUAAUCGGGGCAGGGUGAGUCGACCCCUAAGGCGAGGCCGAAAGGCGUAGUCGAUGGGAAACAGGUUAAUAUUCCUGUACUUGGUGUUACUGCGAAGGGGGGACGGAGAAGGCUAUGUUGGCCGGGCGACGGUUGUCCCGGUUUAAGCGUGUAGGCUGGUUUUCCAGGCAAAUCCGGAAAAUCAAGGCUGAGGCGUGAUGACGAGGCACUACGGUGCUGAAGCAACAAAUGCCCUGCUUCCAGGAAAAGCCUCUAAGCAUCAGGUAACAUCAAAUCGUACCCCAAACCGACACAGGUGGUCAGGUAGAGAAUACCAAGGCGCUUGAGAGAACUCGGGUGAAGGAACUAGGCAAAAUGGUGCCGUAACUUCGGGAGAAGGCACGCUGAUAUGUAGGUGAGGUCCCUCGCGGAUGGAGCUGAAAUCAGUCGAAGAUACCAGCUGGCUGCAACUGUUUAUUAAAAACACAGCACUGUGCAAACACGAAA
rnacentral:rRNA from 1 species